UUGAUGGCUGGAGGAGAACUAUCUGACUACACUUUGCUAACUCAGUUCCUACAUUAAUAUGGUUGGCUAAUCUCCAAGGAGUUGGAAAGACAACGGUGUGCGCUAAACUAGCUUUUUACUUAAAGAAGCAGCAGGAAGCAAGCAGAAAGUUUUUGUCUUCAUGAAAAUCCUGUAGGCUUCAGAUGCAGAGCUCUACCGGCCUGGUGGCAAUGCAGGACCUGAAGCCGCAAGUGCAAAGGUUUAUUCCGGAACAGCAGGUUAGCGUAGACACCUUUUACACAGCAGUUCCCAAUAUCAGGACCGUCUGAAGAAACUCAAAUCAGAACAUGGGAAGGUCCAACUGGGAAACACCACUGUUGAUAUAGUAGAAUGAAUGAUGAUUUUACGUUUUUGGUUUGUUUAUAUCAUUUUCACCUUCCAUAUGGCUUAUUAUGGCUAUGUUGCAGAUUGUAAAUGAUGAGCAAGUGGACUGAUGGGUGGAGGAUUGGGUGAAAUCAAAGAUUAUUGAUGGACAUGGAAGAUACACAGCAGAAGGAGCCAAGUGAAGAGCCGAGAUAUUCGUUCAUCGACUGGUGUACUCGAGGAGGCUGCUUGCAGAUCAAAAAAGGUUUUCAACAGCUGAUUCAAAAGGAGUUGAUGAGUAUGAGGCAGCAGAAGUAGAAGGCUUGUCUUGGUGACCGUUUAAUCUUAGGUCUGAUAUUGUUUUCAACAGCUGAUUCAAAAAGAGUUAAUGAGUCUGAGGAAGCGGAAUUAAAAAGGAACUAUUCAUGGAGCGUUAUAGAGGGUGAAGAAGAUCGAAUAAAUCCUCAUAUCAACAAAGAAGAAGCCAUAGACUUUACUGCUUGGCUUGGUCACUGAUUAAACUCAGGUCUGAUAUUGUUUUCGAUAGCUGAUCCAAAAGGAGUUAACGAGUCUGACGAAUCGGAAUUAAAAGCUCUGUUGCAGAUAUAUUCCUCUUCAAGUAUCUUGUACAUUUUUUAAAAAAAAUUGGCUUUUACACCACGGAAUGAAGGAAACUACACAUAGAGCGGCUCAGAGGAUAUCAACAAAGAAGGAGCCAUGGACUUUUACACUAAGGUCUACAAGAGGAGAUCAAACCAGUUCCUAUAGAACUGUUAAUAGGCCAGCUUGGUACAAGGAGAAGGUAAAUCCUGAAAACAAGGUUGGCGAGAGUAUGUGAUCCUAUCUUGGCCAAGAAAGAUGAUUCGCUCGCCUACAACCAUGUUUCUACAUUGAAAACUAACAAGUUGCAUCUUCCCCAUGGAAGAUACACAAGGAGCCAAGUGGAGAGCCGAGAUGUUUGUUCAAUAGACUGGUGGACUCGAGGAGGCUGCUUGCAGAUCAAACGCAAAGGCC